GGAGUGAGAUUUACACGAGUGGUAGGGAUUUACGGCCCAACGCUGUACCCCUCGUCUUUAUUUUCCUACCCGAACAAACUAGGGUUUCGCGCAGGGGAGAGACUGCCGUCCUAAUCUUGAGGCAGAAGGCAUGUGCCGUAGAUGUAGAAGAGAGCUCAUGCCUAUCCCCGACCUCCUUUAUUGGUCCCAGAAUUCAUUUUAUUUCAACUAAACAGAAUGCAGAAUGAUGUUGCUUUGAGCAUAAUGAUAUUUGACGAUGAUCUGCAUGCAGCAGCAGCCUCCUUUAUUGGUCGUAGAACUCAUCUUAAUUCAACUAAACAGAACCAUGAAGAAUGAUGUUGCUUUGAGCAUAACGACAUUUGAUGAUGGUCUGCAUAAAGUACUCAAGAUGUUGUGUAGGAACAUUGGUUUUUGAAACGGACUGCGAAGUUAAAGAUGAUGAUCUUCUACAGAUAAGCAGUAUUUAGAUGAUGAGCAACAUGAGGAUAACAAUUUAAUAAAGUGGUGAAGGGAGCAGCUGUCGGGAGCAACGAACAGAGUUUGCAUUGGAACAUGCAACUGUUAUGAUGGUAUAUUGAAUUCUCCGGCUGUCGCGUGGGCUCUACCAUGUUUCAAGCUCAGAAGACUUUUAUUUUUAUUUUUCAUUUAUCGUCCAUCUUUCAUCAGUUCUUUUUAUCUUCUUCGUUUUUUUCCUCUCUUGGUGCAUUGAAACACAAUAGUGAAGGUCGAUGUGGUGCGUGGAGUAAAGGCAUUGUCAUGCUCUGUUUUUGCACUUGUAAACGAUUCAAAGAAAAAUUAUGUGAGUUGAUGAUCUUCUACA